UACGUAGGGGGCAAGCGUUAUCCGGAUUUAUUGGGUUUAAAGGGUGCGUAGGCGGGCUUUUAAGUCAGCGGUAAAAAUUCGGGGCUCAACCCCGUCCGGCCGUUGAAACUGGGGGUCUUGAGUGGGCGAGAAGAGGGCGGAAUGCGUGGUGUAGCGGUGAAAUGCAUAGAUAUCACGCAGAACCCCGAUUGCGAAGGCAGCCUUCCGGCGCCCUACUGACGCUGAGGCACGAAAGUGCGGGGAUCGAACAGG
rnacentral:rRNA from 1 species